UGUAAGUGUAUUAGACAACCCCCAACGCCCUAAGCCCCUGCCGACCCCGCCGUUCGCCGUAAUAGGCACCGGAGCUAACUCCGUCAUGGCAACUGGCACGGAGCCCUUAUAAAUAGGAGGCCCACAACAGCCUAGCACCUGAGCACCUCUCCCCCUCCUCUCAGAACCGCGCUCAAGCCAAAAGAAAGCCCCGGGGAGGUCUUCUUCCCGGACUCCGGCUGCCUCGAUCCGCCUCGGUCCCGACAAAAUUCCCUCCGGAGCUCUCUCUGGUGAGAUCGUGUGACGUGCAAGGCUGCCGUCCGCCAGAGAAGAAGACGACGUCGGUGACGACCAGUUCCACCUGCCAUCGAUGCAGAAGGACACAAUGAGUGCACAUGUGCCCUUGGUUGCCCUUGCCAUGCCUUGCAUCAUCGUCUGCGACCACCACAAGCCUCUGUCGCCGGUGGAAAUUCAAAUCUGACGGUUUUCGACGAGGGAAACGCCGCCGUCAACUUCACCGAGCUUGAUCCCGACUAUGUGGAACCAGGCAAGCAUGUUUGAACUUUUGAUGUGAUGUUUGCUAAUAAAAUUUUAUUAAUCACCUGCUACAUUAACUAACAUCUUGCAUAUUACUUAUAUAACUCAAUAUGUGAGUAUGAGGAUUGAUGUGGCUAUGAGAGGCCGUGGAUAGCCUAGUCACGCGGGACGCGAUAGAUUGUGGCCUGGUCAUGCCGGAUGCAUGAUCGUGGUGAGAUAAAAUUGAAUAACUCCAGUAACGACCUAGAUCGAGUCUUGUGAGUGUGUCAACUUUUCUUUCGUGCUGGCAUAGUUUCUUCGGAAAGGGAAUGCGGUGUAGUCGGUCGUGAACCUAUUAUCAGUUACAUGCUGAUAUGUCUCCAACGUAUCUAUAUUUUUGAUGGUUCCAUGCUAUUAUCUUGUCAACUUUGAAUGUUUUGUA